rnacentral:rRNA from 1 species
GGGGAAUAUUGCACAAUGGGGGAAACCCUGAUGCAGCAACGCCGCGUGAGUGAUGAAGGCCUUCGGGUUGUAAAGCUCUGUUUCCAGGGACGAUAAUGACGGUACCUGGGGAGGAAGCCACGGCUAACUACGUGCCAGCAGCCGCGGUAAUACGUAGGUGGCAAGCGUUGUCCGGAUUUACUGGGCGUAAAGGGAGCGUAGGCGGAUUUUUAAGUGGGAUGUGAAAUCCCCGGGCUCAACCCGGGGGCUGCAUUCCAAACUGGAAAUCUAGAGUGUCGGAGAGGAAAGCAGAAUUCCUAGUGUAGCGGUGAAAUGCGUAGAGAUUAGGAAGAAUACCAGUGGCGAAGGCGGCUUUCUGGACGAUAACUGACGCUGAGGCUCGAAAGCGUGGGGAGCAAAC